UCUAGCAUAUCAAUAAGCGGAGGAAAAGAAACUAACAAGGAUUCCCCUAGUAACUGCGAGUGAAGCGGGAAAAGCUCAAAUUUAAAAUCUGGCGUCCUUAGGGCGUCCGAGUUGUAGUCUGGAGAAGCGUCUUCCGCGCUGGACCAUGCAUAAAUCUCUUGGAACAGAGUAUCAUAGUGGGUGAGAAUCCCGUCUUUGGCAUGGACUACCAGUGCUUUGUGAUGCGCUCUCAAAGAGUCGCGUUGUUUGGGAAUGCAGCGCAAAAUGGGUGGUAAAUUCCAUCUAAAGCUAAAUAUUGGCGAGAGACCGAUAGCGAACAAGUACCGUGAGGGAAAGAUGAAAAGCACUUUGGAAAGAGAGUUAAACAGUACGUGAAAUUGUUGAAAGGGAAACGCUUGAAGUCAGUCGCGUCGUUCGGGACUCAGCCUUGCUUCUGCUUGGUGUAUUUCCUGUACGACGGGCCAGCAUCGAUUUUGAUCGUUGGAAAAAGUUCAGGGGAAGGUGGCACCUCCGGGUGUGUUAUAGCCCCUGUUCGCAUGCAACGGUUGGGAUCGAGGUUCGCAGCACGCCUUUAUGGCCGGGGUUCGCCCACGUACGUGCUUAGGAUGCUGGCGUAAUGGCUUUAAACGACCCGUCUUGAAACACGGACCAAGGAGUCUAACAUGCCUGCGAGUGUUUGGGUGUAAAACCCAUCCGCGUAAUGAAAGUGAAAGUUGAGAUCUCUGUCAUGGAGAGCAUCGACGCCCGGUCUUGAGCUUUGGCGACGGAUCUGAGGUUGAGCAUGUAUGUUGGGACCCGAAAGAUGGUGAACUAUGCCUGAAUAGGGUGAAGCCAGAGGAAACUCUGGUGGAGGCUCGUAGCGAUUCUGACGUGCAAAUCGAUCGUCAAAUUUGGGUAUAGGGGCGAAAGACUAAUCGAACCAUCUAGUAGCUGGUUCCUGCCGA
rnacentral:rRNA from 1 species